rnacentral:sRNA from 1 species
AAGGAUAUUAAAGAAGCAGAAGAUCGC